CAUCGGUGACAGGUGGUGGCAUGGUUGUCGUCAGCUCGUGUCGUGAGAUGUGGUUAAGUCCGCAACGAGCGCAACCCCUACUUGUUAGUUGCCAUCAUUCAGUUGGGCACUCUAGCGAGACUGCCGGUAAUAAACCGGAGGAAGGUGGGGAUGACGUCAAAUCAUCAUGCCCCUUAUGACCUGGGCUACACACGUGCUACAAUGGUUGGUACAACGAGUUGCGAGUCGGUGACGGCGAGCUAAUCUCUUAAAGCCAAUCUCAGUUCGGAUUGUAGGCUGCAACUCGCCUACAUGAAGUCGGAAUCGCUAGUAAUCGCGGAUCAGCACGCCGCGGUCGAAUACGUUCCCGGGCCUU
rnacentral:rRNA from 1 species